AACGAACGCUGGCGGCAGGCCUAACACAUGCAAGUCGAACGCUGUAGCAAUACAGAGUGGCAGACGGGUGAGUAACGCGUGGGAACCUUCCCAAUGGUGCGGAAUAGCCCAGGGAAACUUGGGGUAAUACCGCAUAAGCCCUUCGGGGGAAAGAUUUAUCGCCAUUGGAUGGGCCCGCGUCGGAUUAGCUAGUUGGUAGGGUAAUGGCCUACCAAGGCAACGAUCCGUAGCUGGUUUGAGAGAAUGACCAGCCACACUGGGACUGAGACACGGCCCAGACUCCUACGGGAGGCAGCAGUGGGGAAUCUUGGACAAUGGGCGCAAGCCUGAUCCAGCCAUGCCGCGUGAGUGACGAAGGCCUUAGGGUUGUAAGGCUCUUUUGCCGGGGACGAUAAUGACGGUACCCGGAGAAUAAGUCCCGGCUAACUUCGUGCCAGCCGCCGCCGUAACAC
rnacentral:rRNA from 1 species